AGCAACAGAACCACCACGCUGUGGAGAGUGUGAGCAGUUCUUCCAGGCGUGGGGGGAGCACGGGUAAAUGACCGCGGUCCGGCGCGCCAGCGGGGAGCAGUCGAGACUUCCGGCGUCUGCAGCUCGCAGGGCUAGAGCGUCGAAUCGGGGCAACCGGAGGCUUCAGCUCACACCGGAUUGUAAAUGCUAACGCGGGUCUUAGGGCCGGCGGAUCCAGGACUUAGGUCGCCGGGACUUGUGGCUUCUGCUUCUCAGACGUUCGGACUCGCGCUGGGAAGGGGUUCGCCUCCCCUGGUCCCCGCUUUUUUUUUUUUUUCUGCGUCCGGUUAUUGCAAAUGCAUUCAGUCCAGUAGCACUAACCCAGGAAAUUUAAGCACCGGCUCACGUUAUUUCUCGCAGAGGAACCAGGAAUACGGGAGGAACAUGAAAGUGGACAAGGACCAUGACCAUUGAAGCACAGCACCACAGGGAGGGAUUUAUGCCUCCGGAUGACUACGGGCAGGCCUGGAUAAUAUCCAGCCUUCCAAAAAAAGCUGGUAGAGCAGAGUGUUCCCUGACUCCUCCAAGGAAAGGAGACUCCCUUUUGCGGUCUGCUAAGUAACAGGUGCCUUCCCAGACACCGGCAUUACCACUUGACCAAGGAGCCCUCAAGCGACCCUCAUGUGGGCAUGACAGAAGGCUCACCUCUUGCCUUCUAGGUCACUUCUCACAAUGUCCCUUCAGCACCUGACCCUAUACCCACCGGUUAUUCCUAGAUUAUAUUAAUAAUGCAACAAAGAGUAAUGUUAAAAGCUAAUGAUUAAUAAUGCUUAUAAUAAUGAUUGAUAAUUGU